rnacentral:rRNA from 1 species
UACAGAGGGUGCGAGCGUUAAUCGGAAUUACUGGGCGUAAAGCGCGCGUAGGCGGCUUUGCAAGUCGGGUGUGAAAUCCCCAGGCUUAACCUGGGAACUGCGCCCGAUACUGCAGUGCUUGAGGGAGACAGAGGUAAGCGGAACUGAUGGUGGAGCGGUGAAAUGCGUUGAUAUCAUCAGGAACACCAGUAGCGAAGGCGGCACUCUGGGCCGGUACUGACGCUGAGGAGCGAAAGCGUGGGGAGCAAACAGG